ACUCCUACGGGAGGCAGCAGUAGGGAAUAUUGGUCAAUGGGCGAAAGCCUGAACCAGCCAUGCCGCGUGUCAGAUGAAGGUCCUCUGGAUUGUAAAUGACUUUUCUACGGGAAGAAUGAGCCGUCUGCGGACGGAAGUUGACGGUACCGUAGGAAUAAGCACCGGCUAACUACGUGCCAGCAGCCGCGGUAAUACGUAGGGGUGCAAGCGUUGUCCGGAUUUACUGGGUUUAAAGGGUACGUAGGCGGUUGUGCCAAGUCUGGGGUGAAAGUUUGCAGCUCAACUGUAAAAUUGCCUUGGAUACUGGUCGGCUAGAGUAGUGGAGCGGUGGCUGGAAUUUAUAGUGUAGCGGUGAAAUGCUUAGAUACUAUGAGGAACACCAAUUGCGAAGGCAGGUCACUGGUCACUAACUGACGCUGAGGUACGAAAGUGUGGGGAUCAAACAGGAUUAGAUACCCCUGGUAGGAUAGCG
rnacentral:rRNA from 1 species